GUGGCUCUCCUGGCUCUGGUGGCAGCACCUCUUCCAGUUCCACCUUGGCCUGGCGCAGGCGUUCAAGCUUCUCAUCCUCACCUUGACCCAUUGGCUGCAACACAAAGGAUGGCAGAAGGAAAAAUGCACAACAAAACAAAACUGGGGCGACACCAGCAGAGACAGCAACGCAUCAGCCAAAUCAUCCAAGGCGAGCUACGCAUGCAUACGGGCCAACGGAGGGAAGGCUGGCCGCACCGUGGCAUCGCUUAGGCACGCAGUGGGAUUUGUCCUCCGAAGAACAGUACACAUAUUCCCCUCAUCCGAAUCCAAACGCAAUGACACAAUUUGAGGGUGCUGGUCGUGGUGGAGUCGGGGUACCUGCUUUGUGCUCUCUCAGCAUCUGACAGAAGGAAGGAAGGAAAGGGGGUGAAUUUGUGUUAUGCAGCUGUUUUUAUGCUCCGCUCCAGAACAUGUAGAGUCAAAAAAACACUCUUGAGUAUGUAUGAAGUACCUCACCCUUUCCACAGCAAUUUACUUCCAGGACUAAAGUGGAAUGGCACAUGUGUUAUUGCAAUGAUGUCCAAUCAGUCCCUUUUUCCUUGCCUGUCUCUGCUCUCCCCAUUGACUUCUGCAUUAUGUGAUUGCAGAUUGUAAGCCCCUUAUGGCAGAGACUUUUUUCGUUUUCCUUGGCCAGUUGUGUGCCAUGUGCACUGAUAGUGCCAUAUAAAGAACUAUAAUAAACUGCUAUGCAAUAACAGCUUAAGGAGUAGGGGUUUGCUGUACAAUAAACAGCUUGAAGGGGAAACGUCUUAGUCUCUGCCAGCAAUCCCAACUGCAAAAUGUAUUGAAACAUUAAAAUAAAAAAUAUGUAUUGCCCAGAUGAGGGAUGGUGUCAGCAGUGGCCCAGUGGGCACUGAAAGUUUCAUUUGGGGCCCUGAAUCUCUUCUGGGAAGCCAUCUGCCCCACCAUCCUGCUGUCCACAGUCACUUGCUGAAAUGAAGUACAAGGCCCAUGAUGAUCUGUUUUACAGCCUGACUCUUCUGGCUUAGCUGGCCUUUUGCCCACAUGUAUUUCACUUCUUGCUGCUCCCACUUGAAUCUUUCUGCCUGAGGUUUUUUCUCCUCUGGAAAUCAAAUAUCCUCCUCUCUCCGGCCCAUACAAUCCUUUAUACAAAUACAUGUGCCUUUAGGAGACAAGAUCAUUUAAAGACACACAAAAAGACUUUAAAGGAAAUGAAAAUUAGCAAAUUUGUGUUUUGUUUUGUUGUCCUGUGUACCUGAACUCUGGAUCUUUUCAGUAUCUGGUACUUAAAAUGUAAGCUGUUUUAAAUACAUAUAUUUCUGUUGUCACACAACAUCACAUGGCCAAAAUUUAAAUGUUCAGAAUUUCCAAAAUGUCAGCAACUUGGAACUUGUAGGAAUUAAAUACUGCAUAACUGAACAUUUCCAUGUACAUCCAAAAUUAAUAAUUGAAAUGCCAAUGUAGCUAUCAGGCUCAGAUGGUAUUAAUCCAAGCAUUCUUACAUGUGGAACUGUCCAUUUUGUAACAAAAAUAUGUAAUAUGUCUGUAAGAUCAUUAUCAACCUCUGUAUCAGACAACUGAGAAAUGGUCAAUGUAAUGCAAUUUUAAAAAAUUAAAUCCAGGAGGGAACCUGCAAA